rnacentral:rRNA from 1 species
CACACGACUCUCGGCAACGGAUAUCUCGGCUCUCGCAUCGAUGAAGAACGUAGCGAAAUGCGAUACCUGGUGUGAAUUGCAGAAUCCCACGAACCAUCGAGUCUUUGGACGCAAGUUGCGCCCAAGGCCACUCGGCCGAGGGCACGCCUGCCUGGGCGUCACGC